UACGUAGGGUGCAAGCGUUAUCCGGAAUUAUUGGGCGUAAAGAGCUCGUAGGCGGUUUGUCGCGUCUGCUGUGAAAACUGGAGGCUCAACCUCCAGCCUGCAGUGGGUACGGGCAAACUAGAGUGCGGUAGGGGAGAUUGGAAUUCCUGGUGUAGCGGUGGAAUGCGCAGAUAUCAGGAGGAACACCGAUGGCGAAGGCAGCCCCCUGGGCCAACACUGACGCUCAGGCACGAAAGCGUGGGGAGCAAACAGG
rnacentral:rRNA from 1 species